rnacentral:rRNA from 1 species
AUUGAACGCUGGCGGCAGGCCUAACACAUGCACGUCGAACGAGUGGCGGACGGGUGAGUAAUGUCUGGGAAACUGCCUGAUGGCGGGGGAUAACUACUGGAAACGGUAGCUAAUACCGCAUACCAUCGGCUUUGCCCAGAUGGGAUUCGCUAGUAGGUGGGGUAAAGGCUCACCUAGGCGACGAUCCCUAGCUGGUCUGCGAGGAUGACCAGCCACACUGGAACGGAGACACGGUCCAGACGCCGACGGGAGGCAGCAGUGGGGAAUAUUGCACAAUGGGCGCAAGCCUGAUGCAGCCAUGCCGCGUGUAUGAAGAAGGCCUUCGGGUUGUAAAGUACGUUCAGCGAGGAGGCGUUACCCGCAGAAGAAGCACCGGCUAACUCCGUGCCAGCAGCCGCGGUAAUAC